rnacentral:lncRNA from 1 species
CACUCAGCGAUGGUGAGACGGGAAGUGGCAGACCCCCGCGCUGGCUCCUCCGAUAAAUAUGCGAGAGUGUGUGUAUAAAUUAUGUCUCCAAGUGUAAAACAAAAAGGAAGGACAGAAAUAUUAACUGCCUAGCAAAAGCUUGAAGUUGGCUGAGUAGAUCAAGUUAAUUUAACUCCAGGGGAACAUUUGGCAAAAGGGGAAACUGGAGUUCUCUGUACUAUUACUGAGCUUCAGGGCUGUCAUCCAGGGGCUCAGCUUAGUUCCGUUCAGCCUCACCAGGUGGCAGUGUCAUAUCAGCUAGGGGCCUGAGAAAGGUCAGCUCUCAGGAGACCCUGGUGCUCUCUGGAGCAGCUGGAGAGCGGGUGCUAUUGUGUCAUCAUCAGUGGUCUUUGAGCAGACUAAUGGAAAGCUGGGUGGAGGAAGAGCUCCCAAAUCCAACAUGUAAGCUUCCCCGAAAUGGAAGACUUGUGUGCGGCAUGAUUCCCUGUGGAGGGGUUUGGAAACAUGGAAAUGAUUUCCCUCCACAGAGACGUACUUCUGCGACUUUCGAUUUUACCGGGGGGCCCUGGGCUUCACUGA